UACGUAGGGCGCAAGCGUUGUCCGGAAUUAUUGGGCGUAAAGAGCUCGUAGGCGGUUUGUCGCGUCUGUCGUGAAAGCUUGGGGCCUAACCCCAAGUCUGCGGUGGAUACGGGCAGACUAGAGGCAGGUAGGGGAGAACGGAAUUCCCGGUGUAGCGGUGAAAUGCGCAGAUAUCGGGAGGAACACCGGUGGCGAAGGCGGUUCUCUGGGCCUGUACUGACGCUGAGGAGCGAAAGCGUGGGGAGCGAACAGG
rnacentral:rRNA from 1 species